rnacentral:rRNA from 1 species
GACGAACGCUGGCGGCGUGCCUAACGCAUGCAAGUCGAGCGAGGUGUUCCCGCGAGGGGGCAUCGAGCGGCGAACGGGUGAGUAACACGUGGGCAACCUGCCCCAGAGACCGGGAUAACGCUCCGAAAGGGACGCUAAUACCGGGUGAUGCGCGAUCUGCCAAGUAGGUCGCGCCAAAUGGUAGCUUCGGCUUCUGCUCUGGGAUGGGCCCGCGCCGGAUUAGCUUGUUGGUGAGGUAACGGCUCACCAAGGCGACGAUCCGUAGCUGGUCUGAGAGGACGAUCAGCCACACUGGGACUGAGACACGGCCCAGACUCCUACGGGAGGCAG